ACUUCGACCUCAAAUCAGGUAGGAUUACCCGCUGAACUUAAGCAUAUCAAUAAGCGGAGGAAAAGAAACCAACAGGGAUUGCCUUAGUAGCGGCGAGUGAAGCGGCAAUAGCUCAAAUUUGAAAUCUGGCACUUUCAGUGUCCGAGUUGUAAUUUGAAGAAGGUAUCUUUGGGUCUAGCUCUUGUCUAUGUUUCUUGGAACAGAACGUCACAGAGGGUGAGAAUCCCGUGCGAUGAGAUGUCUAGAUCUAUGUAAAGUUCCUUCGAAGAGUCGAGUUGUUUGGGAAUGCAGCUCUAAGUGGGUGGUAAAUUCCAUCUAAAGCUAAAUAUUGGCGAGAGACCGAUAGCGAACAAGUACAGUGAUGGAAAGAUGAAAAGAACUUUGAAAAGAGAGUGAAAAAGUACGUGAAAUUGUUGAAAGGGAAGGGCUUGAGAUCAGACUUGGUAUUUUGUAUGUUACUCUCUCGGGGGUGGCCUCUACAGUUUACCGGGCCAGCAUCAGUUUGAGCGGUAGGAGAAUUGCGUAGGAAUGUGGCUCGGCCUCGGUCGAGUGUUAUAGCCUUCGUCGAUACUGCCAGCUUAGACUGAGGACUGCGGCUUCGGCCUAGGAUGUUGGCAUAAUGAUCUUAAGUCGCCCGUCUUGAAACACGGACCAAGGAGUCUAACGUCUAUGCGAGUGUU
rnacentral:rRNA from 1 species